AAACUUAAAGGAAGUUGACGGGGCCCGGCACAAGCGGUGGAGUAUGUGGUUUAAUUCGAUGCAACGCGAAGAACCUUACCUGGUCUUGACAUCCCGGAGACCCUUAGGAACUAGGGGUGCUUCCAUCUGGAAGAAUCUGGAGACAGGUGCUGCAUGGCUGUCGUCAGCUCGUGUCGUGAGAUGUUGGGUUAAGUCCCGCAACGAGCGCAACCCUUGCCUUUAGUUGCCAGCAGUUCGGCUGGGCACUCUAAAGGGACUGCCGGUGUUAAACCGGAGGAAGGUGGGGAUGACGUCAAGUCCUCAUGGCCUUUAUGACCAGGGCUACACACGUACUACAAUGGCCGAUACAAAGGGCAGCGACACUGCGAGGUGAAGCCAAUCCCGUAAAAUCGGUCUCAGUCCGGAUUGGAGUCUGCAACUCGACUCCAUGAAGUUGGAAUCGCUAGUAAUCGUGGAUCAGCAUGCCACGGUGAAUACGUUCCCGGGCCUU
rnacentral:rRNA from 1 species